rnacentral:rRNA from 1 species
UACGUAGGGGGCAGGCGUUGUCCGGAUUUAUUGGGCGUAAAGAGCGUGUAGGCGGUCAGGUAGGUCCGUUGUGAAAACUCGAGGCUCAACCUCGAGACGCCGAUGGAAACCAUCUGACUAGAGUCCGGAAGAGGAGAGUGGAAUUCCUGGUGUAGCGGUGAAAUGCGCAGAUAUCAGGAGGAACACCUAUUGCGAAGGCAGCUCGCUGGGACGUAACUGACGCUGAGACGCGAAAGCGUGGGGAGCAAACAGG